rnacentral:rRNA from 1 species
UACGAAGGGGGCUAGCGUUGCUCGGAAUCACUGGGCGUAAAGGGUGCGUAGGCGGGUUUUUAAGUCAGAGGUGAAAUCCUGGAGCUCAACUCCAGAACUGCCUUUGAUACUGAGAAUCUUGAGUAUGGGAGAGGUGAGUGGAACUGCGAGUGUAGAGGUGAAAUUCGUAGAUAUUCGCAAGAACACCAGUGGCGAAGGCGGCUCACUGGCCCAUAACUGACGCUGAGGCACGAAAGCGCGGGGAGCAAACAGG